rnacentral:rRNA from 1 species
GACGAACUGUCUGGCGGCGUGCUUAACACAUGCAAGUCGAACGGAAAGGCCCUGCUUGCAGGGUACUCGAGUGGCGAACGGGUGAGUAACACGUGGGUGAUCUGCCCUGCACUUCGGGGUAAGCCUGGGAAACUGGGUCUAAUACCGGAUAGGAGCCAUUUUUAGUGUGAUGGUUGGAAAGUUUUUUCGGUGUAGGAUGAGCUCGCGGCCUAUCAGCUUGUUGGUGGGGUAAUGGCCUACCAAGGCGGCGACGGGUAGCCGGCCUGAGAGGGUGGACGGCCACAUUGGGACUGAGAUACGGCCCAGACUCCUACGGGAGGCAGCAGUGGGGAAUAUUGCACAAUGGGCGCAAGCCUGAUGCAGCGACGCCGCGUGGGGGAUGACGGCCUUCGGGUUGUAAACUCCUUUCGCUAGGGACGAAGCUUUUUGUGACGGUACCUAGAUAAGAAGCACCGGCUAACUACGCGCCAGCAGCCGCGGUAAUACGUAGGUGGCAAGCGUUAUCCGGAAUUAUUGGGCGUAAAGCGCGCGUAGGCGGUUUUUUAAGUCUGAUGUGAAAGCCCACGGCUCAACCGUGGAGGGUCAUUGGAAACUGGAAAACUUGAGUGCAGAAGAGGAAAGUGGAAUUCCAUGUGUAGCGGUGAAAUGCGCAGAGAUAUGGAGGAACACCAGUGGCGAAGGCGACUUUCUGGUCUGUAACUGACGCUGAUGUGUGAAAGCGUGGGGAUCAAACAGGAUUAGAUACCCUGGUAGUCCACGCCGUAAACGAUGAGUGCUAAGUGUUAGGGGGUUUCCGCCCCUUAGUGCUGCAGCUAACGCAUUAAGCACUCCGCCUGGGGAGUACGACCGCAAGGUUGAAACUCAAAGGAAUUGACGGGGACCCGCACAAGCGGUGGAGCAUGUGGUUUAAUUCGAAGCAACGCGAAGAACCUUACCAAAUCUUGACAUCCUUUGACAACUCUAGAGAUAGAGCCUUCCCCUUCGGGGGACAAAGUGACAGGUGGUGCAUGGUUGUCGUCAGCUCGUGUCGUGAGAUGUUGGGUUAAGUCCCGCAACGAGCGCAACCCUUAAGCUUAGUUGCCAUCAUUAAGUUGGGCACUCUAAGUUGACUGCCGGUGACAAACCGGAGGAAGGUGGGGAUGACGUCAAAUCAUCAUGCCCCUUAUGAUUUGGGCUACACACGUGCUACAAUGGACAAUACAAAGGGCAGCGAAACCGCGAGGUCAAGCAAAUCCCAUAAAGUUGUUCUCAGUUCGGAUUGUAGUCUGCAACUCGACUACAUGAAGCUGGAAUCGCUAGUAAUCGUAGAUCAGCAUGCUACGGUGAAUACGUUCCCGGGUCU